CUAACCUUCACCUUCCGAAUACACACGCCAGCUGCUUCGACAGCAGGGUCGGGCGGAUAUUUCAGGAGCAACUAUGAAUUAGAAAAGAAGCUAAGUUUACAGAAUUUCACGUGCUGUCCAGCUCCUACUUCCAUUGCUUCACGCGCUCCAGGAUAUCCGCCUGUUGGAACGUGUCACGCGGGAUUUCCCAAGGCCGCGCGCUACAAGAGAGGAAAAUGACGUCUUCCAGCUCACAGAAACGGAGCGCCAAAAGGAAUGAGAGGAGUCGGCCUGCCUCUGCCACGUCGUUAUACUCGCGGCCCACACCACCUUUACACCGCGCCGGGCUCCACGCAGAUCUGAGGGACUUUACUUUUCCAGCUUUUGGGUUUAACACAACCCCCUCAUCUGUUUUCAGGUCUGUUAAGGUCCCCCAAGGACCCUGCAGAAAGGUUUAUACUGACGGACAGACAUUACACUGCAGCCAAAUCCAAGGCUGUGUUUUGACAACAUUAUAACUGACAUACUUGCCUUAUGCCAGAUUAAUGCAAGAUGAAUAAAACUAGAGACAAAGGUUACAAAUGUGCUGUAAUUAAUUUUUAGGUAUGAAACACAUGACUAUUUACUGAUAAACAAAAAGGCCGAUAUACAAAAAAACAAAAAGUUUGACAAAAAGUUUAAUUACUAUGUGUUAAAUGACAUUAUAGACAUACAUAGUAAUGUUAUUUUAAAGCUUUUCCCACCAUCAUAUUAAAUACCCUUAUGUGACUUUAUUAAUCUAGAAACAUGACAUAUACUGCUAGUGUCCAACAUAACUGCUGUACUUCCUCUUUGAUGCUGGACCAAUAGGACGUCUGGAUUUCUGACCAGUCAGAAGUCCAACACAAGCCCUGCCCGUACGAGACAGCAGCCAACAGUUCGGCUCAACACCUUGGGCUGAAACCUCGGGUUGUGUUGUGGCUUCUGAUAACCUGUUAAUUCAGGUGCUGAACUAAACUCCACACAUACAUGUCACGACGAGCUGCAGGAGACCACGUUAUUCCCAAAUUAGGGAAUGCCGACGAGAGGAGUCAUUUACUCACACUCUGUGCUGGAUUAUGUGGCUAAAGUUUUAGACAAGCAAAAUACAGAAGCAGGAAGCCAAGAGAUUUAAGGUCUCAGACAUUAAGGAAUUAAUCUGGGAUACACUAAUCAAAAA